AGCUAUCUAUUAUUUUGAUUAAAGUGUCCAAAAAUACCUGAAUUAACCUAGUACCAUCUUCAUCUCUCAGACCUCUCAUCUAUCUAAUCAAACCAAUGCCGCCUCGAAGGAAUUCCACCAUUUUCGCUGGCGUUCCUCCUCCAAAUCUUCCCAAAAUUUUACCCUACACUCCAAAUAACCCCUAUAACAUUAAGUCACCACAAAUUUCCCAUAAAUCCUUUUCAUUUCUCAUUAAUUACAAACCUUGAAGCGAAACCCUACACUUGCUCCCGCCUUUGGUUCGUCCUUUAAAGGUAUGGUUUCGUUAUUCUCUCACUUUCGAAGUUGACUUUGGCCAAAAUAAGUACUAGACAUUUAUUCUCACAAGAACAAACCUACAAACACUCUUUUUCCCCUUAAAUCGGAAAGCACCGGAAGUUCGUUCUAGACCAUGGUCCAUCCACUUCUUGUUUAGCUACUUCGAUUCUCUUUUUGUCUUCUUUUUCAUUUGGUUCCAAUCUUUUUCUCUUCCUGCUCCAUCUAGUCUGUUUACUAUGUUAUUUCUUUAUUUAUUUUAUUUUUCGUUUUGAUUUAGUUCUGCUCACAUGUUUAAAAUUAAUGUUUGGUAGUUCAUGUUUUAAUUUCUUUGGUCUUAUGUAUUAUUUCAUUUUUUGUUGGUUUUAAGAGAUAGGAACUCUGAAUAUUUCUUGGAAAAUUAUGCCUGGCCUAUUAAUUUCAUUUUUUUUUAUUGAAAUUGGACUUUGAAAUCAGAAACCCAACAAAGAUAUUCAGCAUGGGUUUUUGAAAAGCCCAGGUUUAGGGUUGGACCUUGGGUUAACAUUGACCCAUAUCUGUUUUGGUUUCUGAAGCAAAUAGCAGGGGUUUAAAGGGUAUUUGGGAUAGUUUAUCUUCGAGAAUCUUGCAUAACUAACUAAGGAAGCUGCCAGGAAAGUGGGUGAAGGGAUUGGUUUGCAAAACCUAUAUUCAAUUGGGGUCUGAAUUAAAUAAAGGGAAUUUGGGGAAGGGUUAAUAGUAAGUUUGGAAACUAACUACUGAUGCCCUAAAACCCCUAUAAAGUUCCUAUUUCCUAAAGUUUUAAGGAAGAGUAGAAGAGCUUAGAAACUAGAAAUGGCUGAAUAUACUAAACACUGAGAAAGUCUAAAGAAUCAGAAGAAAAAUACAAAAAAAAACCACAAAACACGAUUACAUUAAAGCUUUGUGUGUAAUUCUUUGUGUUUUAAAAGUUUGAAGUAAUCGUAGAUUCUUUGUGGGCUCAAAAUGAUAUAAAGAAAUUGAAUUUGUUGUUGUUGAUCUGCUAAAGUGCAUCUGCUUCUGCUGCUGAUCUUGUCAAUUUUUCUUUUGCUCUAAUUGCACCAGGUACUCUUUUGAACUGUGACUGGAAAUGAAGCCUGAUUGAGCUUUUUUGUGUGAAGAUCUGUAAAUCAAGCUGAAGUUAAAUGACAAACAUUAAUCCCUAUUGUUGAUUGCUGCUUGACUUUGUCAUGUUUUAUUCAUAUUUUUCUAGUCCAGAUUAUUUUGUAUACUUUAUUCCCUGAUAUUAUAUUUGGUUUUAAGUGCUGGAUUUAGACUUUGUUUGAAUAUAGUUUAUUCGGAGUGCUUUUAGACUUAGUGUAAUAUGUGUUAAUUAAGGACUGUGAAUCUUAGUCUAAUUAGUAUAACAUAUGUUAGUCUAAUGAUUUCAGAGUUGUCACUUAGUUCUGCUUUUGCUCUUGCAGGAGCAUCUUGUAUUUUAAAAGGACUUUAAAAUGGGAUUUGAGAGUUUCCUGUUGAGUCCAUGUUAUCAAAUAUAUACAUAUGUUUUGAGGUCCUCUCAGGUAUUCUGAUGAAAAACUGAAGUAAGAGUUGGUUGUGUAAAAUAGUUAGACCAAAUGUAUGAAGGGUAGUGAUGCUCCAGGGAAGAUUCAUUAAGUGUUUUAAUUUCAAUAAUGAUUAGUGAUGGGUCUUUUUUUGUUUGGGCAUGAAAUAUUCUAUUUUGGAAAUAUAGUAGAAUCCCUUAUUGGGUUUUUGUUGAAAUAAAUCUAAUAUUAGGAAUUGUAUCGUCAUUUUAGAAUAUAUGUUUGUAUUAAAAUGUGCUUUGCAUCUUAUUCAAGGAUUAUCAGCAUUUGUUCAAACCCCAAA
rnacentral:lncRNA from 1 species